rnacentral:rRNA from 1 species
UACGGGGGGGGCAAGCGUUGUUCGGAAUUACUGGGCGUAAAGCGUGCGCAGGCGGCUUUGCAAGACAGAUGUGAAAUCCCCGGGCUUAACCUGGGAACUGCAUUUGUGACUGCAUGGCUGGAGUGCGGCAGAGGGGGAUGGAAUUCCGCGUGUAGCAGUGAAAUGCGUAGAUAUGCUGAGGAACACCGAUGGCGAAGGCAAUCCCCUGGGCCUGCACUGACGCUCAUGCACGAAAGCGUGGGGAGCAAACAGG